AGAGAGGCGAGAAGCCGAAGAUAGACCGACUCCAAACGGUGCCCAGUGCAAUCAUGCUUCUGGUGCGGAGUUGUCAGGAUGGAGUCCGAGGAAUCAAGGAAGGCAGAGGACCUGCGUAUGAAGGAACCAGCCCUGCGGAUGAAGUUCUGAGGUGCAUACAGAGGGAUCCCACUGAAAGACCAGGUGCAAUGCUGCAUUGAUAAGAUCCAGAUUCAAGAGCAUGGAUGCUACCAGAUCCUGUGAUUUGAAGUUACCAGUGUCACUGCUGCUACAAAUGACAUCAGCAACACUUCCUUUGGUGAAAGUUUAGAGGAGCAAACAGUUGGUGCUCUGUGUAGUCAAGCAGUGGAGUUUUGCCAAUAUCAUGAAGUUGAUU